rnacentral:pre_miRNA from 1 species
CUACUACUCCCUCCGUUCCGAAUUAGUUGUCUUAGAUUUGUCUAGAUACGGAGGUAUCUAGCACUAAAAUGAGUCUAGAUAUAUCCGUAUCUAGACAAAUUCAAGACAAGUAAUUCAAAACGGAGGGAGUAGCUA